ACGUAGGGAGCGAGCGUUGUCCGGAAUUACUGGGUGUAAAGGGAGCGUAGGCGGGAUCGCAAGUCAGAUGUGAAAACUAUGGGCUUAACCCAUAAACUGCAUUUGAAACUGUGGUUCUUGAGUGAAGUAGAGGUAAGCGGAAUUCCUAGUGUAGCGGUGAAAUGCGUAGAUAUUAGGAGGAACAUCAGUGGCGAAGGCGGCUUACUGGGCUUUAACUGACGCUGAGGCUCGAAAGCGUGGGGAGCAAACAG
rnacentral:rRNA from 1 species